AGAUUUUAAAGGUCGAACAGACCUAAUCAAUUUCAGCUUCUGCACCGAAAAUUUA
rnacentral:tRNA from 1 species